AAUGCCUGCCAACAAUUCAGCAUAACUUGAUCUAAUACGCGUCUUAGUCUCCAGCUAAGACUAUAUGGUAACCUCCAGCUUUCAGGUUCUAACUUCUAAUUUAAAAAAUCACAUUCCUAAAACUCUAGGAGGCUAGUAGACUUAAAUGACAAACAUAAAA